ensembl:miRNA mir101b microRNA 101-2
UGAACUGUCCAUUUUCAGUUAUCAUGGUACCGGUGCUGUGUACUUCAAAAGUACAGUACUAUGAUAACUGAAGAUUGGCAGUGCCAUCAC